rnacentral:piRNA from 1 species
UAACAUGAAGGGUUGAUUCUAAGAGCAGC